AACUUUCAGCAACGGAUCCACCAGAAUAUUGGCUGCCGCAACGGCGUCCUGGAUGGCCAAGUUUAUGCCCACCCCUCCGACCGGAGACAUCGCAUGAGCGGAGUCUCCGAGACACAAAAGGCCGCUCCGCCACCACUGUCGCAGCCGAUCGACGGCCACCGUCAACAGCUUAAUAUCGUUCCAAUCUUUCAAUUCGUCCGUGCGCCCGCGCAGGAAGGGAGCGACACUCGCGAUGUCUUCGCGAAACGCUGCCAGCCCUCUUUGCCGGAUCAUUUCAAUGCCUCCCUUCGGGAUCACAUAUGCGCAUUGCCAAUAGUCGGCGCGAUUAAGCAUAUCAAUAAGCGGAGGCU
rnacentral:misc_RNA from 1 species